UAGUCAUCUAGCUUUUUACACACAUUCAGUAUACUUUUCUCCUGAACUUUUUCUCUUUUACUAUUUCUUUGUCUUUCACUUCCAGCAGUGUAUAAAAAUGAUGCUGUGGGGCGUCCAGCAGCAUCGCCCAACCACCCGCCUCACCUCAUCUCUCACUCUCCCCCACAAUCCUCCUCAUCAGAUCUCAGCUCAGGCAUUUAAUGAUUUAACUACAGGGAUAGAUGAUGGUAAUGAAGACGGCUCCUCACUGUCUACUCCUCAUGGGGUAACAUCAGAUGAUAAUCUGCUUCACAGCACAUGUGUCAGAUGGAAGGAAUGCUAAUCUGGAAGAGGUACGGCGCUUGGAGUUUUUGGCAGCCAGUUUCCACUAUGCACUUUCCAUGUGGUGUCGCUCCAGAGGCUCCGGGCAGGAGAAGUUAGUUUUGGGAACAGAGGUGUUGACGGAUCCCAGAUCGCCUCUCUAAACACGCCCGCAGCAAGGGUUAAGACACUGCUGGACAACUGACCUUAGCUUCACCUUAACCAGCAAUACCUGUACAGUUUCCAAGAGUACAUUACGUGAUCUGUAGCGCACGUUAACAAGAAAUACAAGCACACAGUGUGUUGUCCGUAACCUUGGGCUGAGCUUUGAAACUCAAACUAUAUUUCAUUUAAAUCAUCUGUCAGGCUGUUUAUAAUCGAGCCUCUCGUUCAUCAGCCUAGAGCGUACUGUAGGAUCUCAGUUUGUGAAUGAAGAUGCCCACUGUGCUAGACCCAUAUCUUCACACUGGAAAACGUUUUGUUUUGGUUCAUCUGAUGCUAUAUUUGUUAUUGUUUUUGAUUUCUCUCAUGCAUGUAGACUUUCACCCAUGACCAGGGCCGGAAAUUCCAGAAUUGAGAGGAAAAUCCGUCCCUGCCCAUAACUCAGAAUAAAAUGAAUAAUAAAGCCUGUAAAUGGUCUAAUCUGA